ACACUCCUGCGGGAGGCAGCAGUGGGGAAUAUUGGACAAUGGGCGCAAGCCUGAUCCAGCCAUGCCGCGUGAGUGAUGAAGGCCCUAGGGUUGUAAAGCUCUUUCACCGGUGAAGAUAAUGACGGUAACCGGAGAAGAAGCCCCGGCUAACUUCGUGCCAGCAGCCGCGGUAAUACGAAGGGGGCUAGCGUUGUUCGGAUUUACUGGGCGUAAAGCGCACGUAGGCGGACUAUUAAGUCAGGGGUGAAAUCCCGGGGCUCAACCCCGGAACUGCCUUUGAUACUGGUAGUCUUGAGUUCGGGAGAGGUGAGUGGAAUUCCGAGUGUAGAGGUGAAAUUCGUAGAUAUUCGGAGGAACACCAGUGGCGAAGGCGGCUCACUGGCUCGAUACUGACGCUGAGGUGCGAAAGCGUGGGGAGCAAACAGGAUUAGAAACCCCGGUAGUCCC
rnacentral:rRNA from 1 species